rnacentral:rRNA from 1 species
CAGAAUGCGUAGUCGAUAGGAAACAGGUUAAUAUUCCUGUACCGAUAUGGAAUGCGAGUGGGGGACGGAGAAGGUAGGUCAGCCAACUGUUGGAAUAGUUGGUUCAAGCGUGUAGGCGUGCUCUGUAGGCAAAUCCGCAGAGCUUAGCUGAGGCGUGAUAACGAGGUGCCACGUGCACUGAAGUGAUUGAUCCCAUGCUUCCAGGAAAAGCCUCUAAGCUUCAGUUCCAUAUUGACCGUACUGCAAACCGACACAGGUGGGUGGGGUGAGAAUCCUAAGGCGCUUGAGAGAACUCAGGAGAAGGAACUCGGCAAAUUAACACCGUAACUUCGGGAGAAGGUGUGCCCUUGUAGGGUGAAGUCCCUUGCGGAUGGAGCUCGAAAGGGUUGCAGUGAAAAGGUGGCUGCGACUGUUUAUUAAAAACACAGCACUCUGCAAAACACGAAAGUGGACGUAUAGGGUGUGACGCCUGCCCGGUGCUGGAAGAUUAAAUGAUGGGGUGC